rnacentral:rRNA from 1 species
GACGAACGCUGGCGGCGUGCCUAAUACAUGCAAGUCGAGCGGAGAGGGUUGGUACUUGUACCAACUGGGUGAGCAGCGAACGGGUGAGUAACGCGUGGAGAAUCUGCCUGUGAGCGGGGGACAACAUUGGGAAACGAGUGCUAAUACCGCAUAAAAACUUGAAACACAAGGUUUAAGGGUGAAAGAUGGAAUUGCAUGACUCAAAGACGAUCCCGCGUCGUAUUUGCUAGGUGGUGAGGUAAAGGCGCUCCAAGGCGAAGAUGCAUAGCCCCCCUGAGAGGGUGGUCAGCCACCUUGGGAGUGGGACACGGCCCAAUCGCCUUCGGGAAGCAGCCGGACGGCAUCUUCGGCCAUCGGCGGAAAUCUUACCGAGCUACGCCGCGUGAAGGUAGAAGGUUUUCGGGUCGUAAAACUCUGUUUUUAGGGAAGAAAGCUGGUUGGAGUGGAACGCUCAGCAAGUGACGGUAACUACUCAGAAAGCGACGGCUAACUACGUG